rnacentral:rRNA from 1 species
UCGUGGAGUGAUCUGUCUACUUAAUUGUGCCAACGAACGAGACCUUGGCCCUUAAUUAGGUGCUAGGCUUUAGGGGUAACUCUAAAGUUAAUUUUUCGGAAAUCUAGUUAACAAUCCUAUGGAUACUUCUUAAGGGGACAAGACGACGUUGACUAUGACGCAGCGUAAGGAAGAGCAAGGCAAUAACA